GACGAACGCUGGCGGCGUGCUUAACACAUGCAAGUCGAACGGAAAGGCCCUGCUUGCAGGGUACUCGAGUGGCGAACGGGUGAGUAACACGUGGGUGAUCUGCCCUGCACUUCGGGAUAAGCCUGGGAAACUGGGUCUAAUACCGGAUAGGAGCCAUUUUUAGUGUGAUGGUUGGAAAGUUUUUUCGGUGUAGGAUGAGCUCGCGGCCUAUCAGCUUGUUGGUGGGGUAAUGGCCUACCAAGGCGGCGACGGGUAGCCGGCCUGAGAGGGUGGACGGCCACAGUGGGACUGAGAUACGGCCCAGACUCCUACGGGAGGCAGCAGUGGGGAAGAUUGCACAAUGGGCGCAAGCCUGAUGCAGCGACGCCGCGUGGGGGAUGACGGCCUUCGGGUUGUAAACGCCUUUCGCUAGGGACGAAGCUUUUUGUGACGGUACCUAGAUAAGAAGCACCGGCUAACUACGUG
rnacentral:rRNA from 1 species